ensembl:lncRNA
CAGCCUGCCUGCAAGCCCAGGUACAGCACGCCGACUCUCUAAAUAAGCAGCACAUUCAGGAACCCCAUCAGGACAGUAGGCAGGGCUGCAGCCUGAGUGUGAAAUCACACUAAUGCGCCCGCUCUAGUCAGGUUGAGCAGGAUCACUCACUCUCUCUCAUUCACACACUACCGUUCCUCUACUACUGUAGCCCCAGCACCAGCAGCCAGAAGACAAGUGUGGAUUGGACGUCAAGGAGGGCAAGAAAGAAAGGAAGGAGGCAAAAAAAGAGAGACAGAAAGGUCUGCGAGGAAACGAGGAAAGGGAUUUUGCAGCUGCUCUUCAUCGACUGUUGGUUUGGAUCCGCUCUGUGACAGGAGACAGCAUUUGAACGGUGCACACCACUGGAUCUCUGGUGGCCUGCCGGUGGCGCCAUCACUUCGAAAGGCUUUUCCACCGACUGUGGAUGCUUCAAACCAAAUCUUAUAACCUGGUCUCGUAGCUUUGAAAAAACCUGGAAAUACCUGGAAUUAUAGGACUACAUUAUCCCAAACCCUUGCCAAGGGACUUACUAAUGUUGCCCAGGCACUGGAUCUGAAAGCUUUACAUUCCUCUUUACUUUUGAAUAUACCAACAGACCAAAAAAAAAAAAAAAAAAACAUAGCUUUAGAACUAGUGAUAGAUUACGGCCAUCCGCCUGCCAUUGCACCAAACCUGCUGUGACCGCAAGGGUUGUGACCUUUCUGGUGCCCACUUCAAACGGACACUUGAAAAGAAGGACGCGGUCAGAGAGGGCUUCCGAGCGGUGGCAACUGAAACCAAAAACCCCAUCAGGUAAGGCUGUGAAGUCACUUCUUUUCCUGCUGGCAUCACCCCCAAAGCUCCUUGGGGGCUUUUGAAGCCCAGAUGGGCUCCCUGCGUCCACACCCACAUAGAUGGGUUCUCCUCCAUGCUGGGCCUACAGGAGAGCCCACUGUAGAUAAAGGCUUCCUGGGUUUGAAGACUCAAUCACCUGUCUGCUGCUGUAGGAUUAGAGGGAAUGUGUGCUGAUUGAAUUUGUUUGGCUCAAAGAUGCUUAGGUGCAGGGAAAUCCUGGAAAGGAAGGAGACAGACAGAUUGACUGACUGACAGAAAAGAAAGAGUGUACAGAUAUAGAGAUACAUGUUAUCAUUGCAUAUUUUCAUCUACAUAAUGCAAGUUGACCUGUGCUGCAGGAAUAUUCUGAGUUCAAUAAAAGUUCAACUAAAUCAAAAGCA